UCAAUCCAGAGGAAGUGACGGUACCGAGAGAGAAGCCCCGGCUAAUUCCGUUGCCAGCAGCCCCGGUAAUACGGGGGGGGCAAGCGUUGUUCGGAAAUACUGGGCGUAAAGGGCUCGUAGGUGGCCAACUAAGUCAGACGUGAAAUCCCUCGGCUUAACCGGGAACUGCGUCUGAUACUGGAUGGCUUGAGUUUGGGAGAGGGACGCGGAAUUCCAGGUAUAGCGGUGAAAUGCGUAGAUAUCUGGAGGAACACCGGUGGCGAAGGCGGCGUCCUGGACCAACACUGACACUGAUGAGCGAAAGCCAGGGGAGCAAACGGGAUUAGAUACCCCGGUAGUCCUGGCCCUAAACGAUGAAUGCUUGGUGUGGCGGGUAUCGAUCCCUGCCGUGCCGAAGCUAACGCAUUAAGCAUUCCGCCUGGGGAGUACGGUCGCAAGGCUGAAACUCAAAGGAGUUGACGGGGGCCCGCACAAGCGGUGGAGCAUGUGGUUCAAUUCGACGCAACGCGAAGAACCUUACCCAGGCUUGAACAGCGAGUGACCAGCUCCGAAAGGGGCCUUCCGCAAGGACACUCGUAGAGGUGCUGCAUGGCUGUCGUCAGCUCGUGUCGUGAGAUGUUGGGUUAAGUCCCGCAACGAGCGCAACCCUUGUUUGCUGUUGCCAUCACGUUAUGGUGGGCACUCUGCAAAGACUGCCGGUGAUAAACCGGAGGAAGGUGGGGAUGACGUCAAGUCAGCAUGGCCUUUAUGUCUGGGGCUACACACGUGCUACAAUGGCCGAUACAAACCGUCGCGAUACCGCAAGGUGGAGCUAAUCGGAGAAAGUCGGUCUCAGUUCGGAUCGUAGGCUGCAACUCGCCUGCGUGAAGUUGGAAUCGCUAGUAAUCGCGGAUCAGCACGCCGCGGUGAAUACGUUCCCGGGCCUUGUACACACCGCCCGUCACAUCACGAAAGCCGGUUGUACUAGAAGCCGCCACACUAACCCGCAAGGGAGGGAGGC
rnacentral:rRNA from 1 species